rnacentral:rRNA from 1 species
UUUUCCUACGGGGCGCAGCAGUGGGGAAUAUUGCACAAUGGGGGAAACCCUGAUGCAGCAACGCCGCGUGAGUGAAGAAGUAUUUCGGUAUGUAAGGCUCUAUCAGCAGGGAAGAAGAAAGACGGUACCUGACUAAGAAGCCCCGGCUAACUACGUGCCAGCAGCCGCGGUAAUACGUAGGGGGCAAGCGUUAUCCGGAUUUACUGGGUGUAAAGGGAGCGUAGACGGCAGCGCAAGUCUGGAGUGAAAUGCCGGGGCUCAACCCCGGAACUGCUUUGGAAACUGGGCAGCUAG